rnacentral:rRNA from 1 species
GACGAACGCUGGCGGCGUGCUUAACACAUGCAAGUCGAACGGAAAGGCCCUGCUUUUGUGGGGUGCUCGAGUGGCGAACGGGUGAGUAACACGUGAGUAACCUGCCCUUGACUUUGGGAUAACUUCAGGAAACUGGGGCUAAUACCGGAUAGGAGCUCCUGCUGCAUGGUGGGGGUUGGAAAGUUUCGGCGGUUGGGGAUGGACUCGCGGCUUAUCAGCUUGUUGGUGGGGUAGUGGCUUACCAAGGCUUUGACGGGUAGCCGGCCUGAGAGGGUGACCGGGCACCUUGGGACUGAGAUACGGCCCAGACUCCUGCGGGAGGCAGCAGUGGGGAAUAUUGCACAAUGGGCGGAAGCCUGAUGCAGCAACGCCGCGUGCGGGAUGACGGCCUUCGGGUUGUAAACCGCUUUCGCCUGUGACGAAGCGUGAGUGACGGUAAUGGGUAAAGAAGCACCGGCUAACUACGUG